rnacentral:rRNA from 1 species
GACGAACGCUGGCGGCGUGCUUAACACAUGCAAGUCGAACGGAAAGGCCCUGCUUUUGUGGGGUGCUCGAGUGGCGAACGGGUGAGUAACACGUGAGUAACCUGCCCUUGACUUUGGGAUAACUUCAGGAAACUGGGGCUAAUACCGGAUAGGAGCUCCUGCUGCAUGGUGGGGGUUGGAAAGUUUCGGCGGUGGGGGAUGGACUCGCGGCUUAUCAGCUUGUUGGUGGGGUAGUGGCUUACCAAGGCUUUGACGGGUAGCCGGCCUGAGAGGGUGACCGGCCACAUUGGGACUGAGAUACGGCCCAGACUCCUACGGGAGGCAGCAGUGGGGACUAUUGCACAAUGGGCGGAAGCCUGAUGCAGCAACGCCGCGUGCGGGAUGACGGCCUUCGGGUUGUAAACCGCUUUCGCCUGUGACGAAGCGUGAGUGACGGUAAUGGGUAAAGAAGCACCGGCUAACUACGUG